rnacentral:siRNA from 1 species
UGUUAUGGUAUGUCGUCGCCGUC